GUGAGCAGCAGAGCUGCUGAAACGCGGGUUUCACAAGUCCUUCAGGGGGCUUGGGCUACGGCAAAAGCCGUGAACGCACAUCAGGGGCUGUGGGGGCCCUUGUUCCCACGGGGUCACACCACUCCUGUCGCCAGCAGUCGGGAAGUUGGAACAAACUGCACCAAAUGAAGGCACGACCAUGUUUGAAAGGCUCUUCAUUUGCACAGUGGAACAAAAACUGGCAACUAAAGCAGGAAUAAUGACUCAAAGCUAGCUUGCACUUCAGCUGCCCCAGUAAAACUUGCCUCCACGCAUCACCCCUCACUGGAUAGCAGCAAUGCAGAAAGAUGUACAGCACACGCGCGAACACUCACCUUCUGCUUCGUCAUGUCCAGGAGACCUACUGAGUACCGGUCGCAGUUCAGCAUGCAAUAAGUAAUGCUGAAAGCCACAAGCCCAGUGAGGAGGACUGAAGAAACACCUGAAGAAUGGACAAUCCAUGGAAUGAUGUAAAGAAGUUGGGCAAAACGUGCUAUGUGGUCUUCUAAUAAGACUCUUACACAGUAUCUGAGCACAAGUGGACUGAUCUGUCUUUGCACAAGCCAUUUUACUUACAGUAUCCCACAGUCUUUGCAGUUGGGAUUUGCAAUAUUAA